CUUUCACAGCCAAUUGUGAGAAAGGAGGUGUUUCCUUGGAUUCCACAGCCAGUCAGGUUUGUUGACCUUAGGCAAAGAUCAAGAGCAGAAUCAAACUUAAAUAUUAAAUUGGAGUCUUCCCAUCAAGUAGCAGGAAAGCUUUGUCACAACCACUCGAAUCUGGGGACAAUAAAUCAGGGCUUCUCAACUUCAGCACUAUCAACAUUUGGAAACAGGUCUUUCUUUGUCGUGGGAUGGAGGCAAAGGGGCUUUCUUGCUCUCUGGCUUCAGAAGAAAAUCUCUAAGUUAGUCACCCCAGGUGGGAAGCAUUGCACCAAACGGACAGAAGUCAUUCCACAAUUCUAUCCAAGUCCAUCCUGUGUGCCAAGUCCCUCACUGGACUUUCAGCUGGAUUGCAAACUAGGGGUAACAGAAACCAGUGCUCUUUGCAGAUCUAUGCAGAAGCUUAAAAGGUAAAAAGAUAAUUCCCAUGAUGGGGAGAGGCUUUCCCAGUGGGCCAUGUGUCCAGGAGCCUCUGGGUUCUCUGUACCUCAUUUCUAUGUAGGAGAUCUGAGUAGCAUUUGUAAUCAACAUAUCUACACCUUUGUCUAACUGGCUGACAGUACUGGGAGUUAUCUCUUUCUUGGGGGCAUCUCAGUCAACCCAUGGCAGAACUUCCAAAAGCAUCUCUGUGAUCCUGCCGCAGUCUGGCUGGGCACAAAAUCACGAGCCACUCAAGCAGGAACAAACUUUAUUUCCAAAACUCCCGCGAAUGCCAUGCACGCGGCCUUCUCCCGGGACACACUACACCAACAGGAAAUCCCUCCUCUGGAAUUCCCUCCUACCGCACUUCCCCAACCAAUGGGAACUGUCCGGGAGUCCCAGGAGAGCUCCAAAGUAGCAGGCCUAGGCAGACAGCAGGGGUCUAAUCUCCAAUUGAAUGACAUCUUAACAUAAUAAUUAUCAUCUCAAUGGCUUGCUGGCAUCACCUUUCAACCAAAAAUGCCAUGCAUCAUUCCUACUUGGCUAUGGCUCUCAGCAUGAUCCCAUGGUGGAUUGCCAGUCUGACCCCCCAGCUAGGCUGGAAAAGAUGUAAAGAGUAAUACAAAGACUUCACACCUUCCUGAUACCACCUACAGGUAGACAUCACCCUUAUCUAAUUCAUAGACUCCGUGAGGCACUAGAGGCUUGAAUCAUGAAAAUCAAAGCUGGAAGCAAUUCAGAAGACCACCCAACCAUCCUCUCCUGUUCCAGAAAGUUGGGUAGGACUACUUCACAGCACCAGGCUACCUAAUGGCAGAACAAGAACAGGACCCGGGUCAAGGGAGAGUGGAUUUGCACUGCUAAACGCAGACUGAUCAAGGUCACAGCACCCAGGUGGGGGAAGUGUCAAGGCGAACAGAACCUCAGUCUACUGAUGAUCAGUCCUGCUUGGGUGGCUCCAACUCUCUGAGUAAAACAAUAACACCUUCCAGAAGAAUUUCUUUGGAUACUUUGAACUUGAAAAAAUAAACACAUUCUCUAUAGAUCAUUAUUUAAAACUCAGAAUGGCAGGCUUGUCUCAAGUCACUAGACAGACCAGCAGAACAAGGAGAUGCAAAGGUGGGUUGCUCUCUAAGCCAUCUAGUUAUCCCCACUUCCCCGACCCUGUCCCUCCCUCCCCUGCACCAUCCCCUGAUGUCAGUUAUCAAGACAGCCUGAUUCUGUGGAAUUCCACUCAUUUUUCAUCGGGGCUUUGACCUCCACCAACCAAACAAGCGAGGUACAUUCUGGGAGAGAGCUCAUGCCACAGGCAUGGGGGGUAGGGGGUGCAGAGAAGGAAACAAUCAAUGCUGUAGGACUUUCCCACACUUAGGGAAUCAGUUUUAUCAGUGUUUGGACAUUG
rnacentral:lncRNA from 1 species